CCUACGGGAGGCAGCAGUGAGGAAUAUUGGUCAAUGGGCGCGAGCCUGAACCAGCCAAGUCGCGUGAGGGAAGACGGUCCUAUGGAUUGUAAACCUCUUUUGUCAGGGAACAAAGGCGGGGACGUGUCCCCGGAUGAGUGUACCUGAAGAAAAAGCAUCGGCUAACUCCGUGCCAGCAGCCGCGGUAAUACGGAGGAUGCGAGCGUUAUCCGGAUUUAUUGGGUUUAAAGGGUGCGCAGGCGGUCUGUUAAGUCAGCGGUCAAAGCCCGGGGCUCAACCCCAUCCAGCCGUUGAAACUGGGGAUCUAGAGUGUGCGAGAGGUAUGCGGAAUGCGUGGUGUAGCGGUGAAAUGCAUAGAUAUCACGCAGAACCCCGAUUGCGAAGGCAGCAUACCGGUGCACAACUGACGCUCAGGCACGAAAGCGUGGGUAUCGAACAGGAUUAGAUACCCGUGUAGUC
rnacentral:rRNA from 1 species